rnacentral:rRNA from 1 species
UACGUAGGGUGCGAGCGUUAAUCGGAAUUACUGGGCGUAAAGCGUGCGCAGGCGGUUUUGUAAGCCAGAUGUGAAAUCCCCAGGCUUAACCUGGGAACUGCAUCCGAUACUGGAUGGCUUGAAUUCGGGAGAGGGAUGCAGAAUUCCAGGUGUAGCGGUGAAAUGCGUAGAUAUCUGGAGGAAUACCGGUGGCGAAGGCGGCAUCCUGGACCGAGAUUGACGCUGAUGAGCGAAAGCUAGGGGAGCAAACGGG